GCACCCGUAGCUCAGCUGGAUAGAGCAUCGCCCUCCGAAGGCGAAGGCCACACGUUCGAAUCGUGUCGGGUGCGCCA
rnacentral:tRNA from 1 species